rnacentral:lncRNA from 1 species
CUGCUUUGAAACAACUGAAGCUGCAUAUUGCAGCCAGUCAGUUGGACCUGAAGAACAAGCCCUUAGAAGAUGCAAAAGAUGCCUGCUUUACCAACAGCUACAAGGGGACUGUAAGGCAGGUUAUGCAAUAACUGCUACUGACCAGGAUAAAAGGACUAUUCUUCCAGUUCACCAAUUCUAAGCCGGGGACUGGAUCCUGAUCCAGACGGGGAAGGAGACAAAGCUGCAGCCUGACUGGGAAGGACCACUCCAAUGGUCCUUGGAUGGUCCUUCCUUUAAUGGUCCAAUGCUUUAAUGACUGAAACAGCUAUGAGGACAGACGAGAAAGGAUGGACUCACUACACACUGGUAAAGGCAUCCACUAGCCCUGAGGUGUGGGAACUGUUGCCACAGAAAAACCUUUAAAAGAUAAGAAUUAGAAGGAAAUCAUGAAAAGUUUUUUUUUUAUAUGCAUAUAUUUUUAAUUAUUAUUUUAACUAACCUUUAACUUUUCCUCAAAUAGGUGAAUAAAUUAUAUACGUAAGUGGGAGAAUAUUAUAACCUAUAUAAACUGUAACAACAUGUCAAUAGGUGCUUCUGCCAUCAGGGCGCCCGCCAUUGCAAUCGCGAAUAAAAACUGCUUUUAUCAGAAAUUAUGACCAAAAAUUAUUGAGGAUAUUUCCAACAGGCAGUAGCAUCUACUACUGUUACAAAACCAUCUAUGGGUAGUAAGAAGCACCCAUAUCCACCAGAAAACGAACCUCAAUAUCCUGCUUUCCUAAAUGCAAUUUCCCAUUGGGUAGGUAUGGCCAGCCAUACGGACCACAAACCCACACAGAACCGCAAGGUAUCGCUGCACAGAAGACUUAUUAGGACCCUUAGACAAGGAUCUGGGGAAAGUCGUAUUCUUACAGCAGCUUCUGGGUAAAGCUCCUACCCACAGCUCGGUUCCAUUGCAAGAGUUCUGUUCAACACACAAUGUCCUCUGGUGCUGUACCGGAGAUUGCCUCUUGCUGGGACAUACUCGUGGGGGUUAGGAGUAACAGGAACGCCAGGACAGCAAGGGAGGGAUGCCUGAUGACAAGGGUGUGCGAAUGUCCCCACCGAAGGAAGCAAAGAGAGCCGGCAGAAAGCGAUGCUUCAUUAGCGUAACAAAACACAGCCCCCAUUCCUCCCUCCCUCCUCCCCCGCACCCCUUCCCAUCGCCAUCCCCCGGGGGCAGAUGUGCCAUGAAAACGAGCUCUGGGCGUGAUCGUUGU